GGAUCAGGCUGUCGGGGGGCCCGGGUGUAGUCUACAGUGCAUGUGUCUCCAGGGACACUAGACAGCUGGAGACACAGCUCUGUUGGAUACAACCGAAGCCACUGGCUUCAGGAGAAGGG
rnacentral:pre_miRNA from 13 species